rnacentral:rRNA from 1 species
UACAGAGGUCCCGAGCGUUGUUCGGAUUCACUGGGCGUAAAGGGUGCGUAGGCGGUCGGGUAAGUCUGAUGUGAAAUCUCGGAGCUUAACUCCGAAAUGGCAUCGGAUACUAUUCGGCUGGAGGGUUGGAGGGGGGACUGGAAUUCUCGGUGUAGCAGUGAAAUGCGUAGAUAUCGAGAGGAACACCAGUGGCGAAGGCGAGUCCCUGGACAACUCCUGACGCUGAGGCACGAAAGCCAGGGGAGCAAACGGG